GCGGGCCCUACGCGGGCCAGGCGCGUUGGUUCCGUAAGCCCGGGGCUCGCGCGUACCGGAGGGACCUAGGCGGCCGUGGCACCCUCCUGCUGCCCACUUCGCCAUCUAGCAUCUGGAGGACACGGGGUACCUGAGGGUGGAGCGGUUCACUGGCCCCCCUGGGCGGAGGAUGCGGAAGGCCCUGAACUAGGAGGGGACCGGCCCUCCGCGCCCCACCCGGACCCGGAACUGGUGCGCCAGAAUGGGGCCCAGCCCCUAGAGCGCUAGCGGAGCCUGCACUGGGACGCCGGCGCUGCCGCCCCUGUGGCUGAACACCCGCUAUCACGACCGGGGAGGCAGCCUUUAGGUACCAGAAGAUGACAGGAGAAUAAGCCUGAAGGAUCCCUGCCCGCACUUCCUGGCUACCAGACAGGGUGGUCGUGAGGAAGACGCGGGUACAAAGAUAGAACAUUUGGGUUCAAUAAAUGCUGGCUGUUAGAUAUACUUUUCUACAUUACCUGCAGAGAAUCAGCCUUUUUGCCAAAUGAGUCUUUUCCUCGCUCCAUCCAGUGACUCAGGAAUCCCUCUUUGUUUUCACAACUGAAGAUUGAACUAGAGCCUCAUACUUGCUACGCUGAUGUUCUUACACUGAACUGAAGUCGCAGCCCUAGAAAUGCACUUUUCAAAAUGCUUUGUUGAGUUAAUCUAGACUGCAAAUCUUGCUCAUAAUACCUACCUACCAGACUUGCUCACCUUCUAUUUAAAAUCAAAUCAGGUCGUAGGUGGGAGUGGGGAUCAGUAAAUUUCAUCCCUGAAAGAUUAUGCCCGAGGCCUCUGAGCUCAUAAACAAGUGAGAGCCUUCAGGAACAGCCAGUGAAUGGUUAAGUCCCUCAAGAGUGGCAGUAGACCAGUAUUACAGGAGGUCAGAGAAGGGAGUGGCACUUAGAAAGUCAUCACUCCAUAAGUAUUUAUUGUGUAACAAUUGGCCAAGCAUUAUGCAGACUAUGGAGAUUGCAGCUAUGGGCAAAAUAUCUCAUGCUAGCCUAGAGUUUGUAGGUGAAAUUUCGCUUCAGGAGAUGGAGCCUCCUGCAAGCUGGAUAUGUACACCUGCCCUGAGUUAAGGCGCUGCUGAGCUUGAAUGCUGUCAGGAGGUGAGUUAAGAAAAAGCAUCAGAGUGGAUGGAGGAGGUAAGCAGAGGUAGCUAAGCACUGUGUGGUGGCAUUUGGGAGGAUGGUCCAAGGCAGCAAAAGAUGGGAGUGGAGUGUACACACAGCCCCAAGGGCAGAGACACCCCCCCCAUGUAUUCGUAGACAGCAAAGAGGCCAGUGGCCAUUCUGAAUUGUGUUAGCAGAAAGCUUCAAGAACAGCUGCAAACUAUGACCUCCCUCCAAAAAAAAAGACUGUGAGCCUCUUGUGUGCUGGUUUAUAGGGUGAAUAGGGCCUCAGGAAGCUUUGUAUAUCCCAGGCAUUUAUUUAAAAACCAGUGUGUAGGGAGAAGGCUCAUUUGGUACAGUGUGCUGGGAAUCCUGAGUUUGUUCCCCAAAACUCAUGUAGAAGAAUACUGGAGAGGCUUGAGACAGCUUGAUUUCUGGGACUUCCUGGUCAGUUAAUCUAGGUCCAGGCCAAUGGGACAUCAUGGUGGACCCUGUCAGAGGAACGAUAUCUGAGGUUAUCCUGUUUUCCACACGUGCAUUCCUGCAUGCAAACAUAUGUAAGACCCCCAGAAGCUCAGGCCUCUAGGAUCUCAGCCCAGGACCAAGGCCACCCCAAUCACCAUGCGGAGGCAGAAACUUGAUGCAAACAGCAUGAGGCUUUAUUAUAGUUGUUUAACGAGCUAACCCCAUGUUAGCACUGGCCUUCCAUCCAUCCACUAUGGCAGAUGGCUAGGAAAGACAGCUCGAAGCCUCUGCAUAGAGAUCUUAUAGGGCAGUGUAAGGGGAGUGUCUAGGGUUACGCACAGGCUCAGGAUUGGUGUGCCUCCAGGCUUGGAGGGUUUGCCCUGUGUUGAUUGGUCAACUGAUUGUUAUGGUCCAUAGGCCCUCCCAGGGUGGUUGCUAUGCUCUGCAUGUCAUUGCUGUGCACUUGUCUGUAAAGUACACCCAGAGCCAUAAGGCAAAGCACCACCAGCUAACUUCUGAUCGGUUCCUUGCCACAAGGCAGGCAUCUGACCUGUUAGUGACCAAGGCAAGGUCAUGGCAAGCACGUGUUCGGCUGUCAUGGCUGCCGAAAGGGGCAGGAUCUGACCUUAGUGACUAAGACAAGGUCAGACAAGCACGUGUUCAGCUGUUAUGGCUGCCGAAAUGGGGAGCUGGUCCCUUCACAUAAAUGACACAGCGUAAGAAGUGGGAACAAGCCCAAGAUGUCCAAAUGCUGAGGAUUUCAGUUCAUCCACACUGAGAAGAUUGCCAUUGAACUGGGCAGUCUGUAGGAGGAACGGGGGUGGGGUGGGGAGUAGGAAAGUGGGAGUCCUCUUUGAGUCAAGUUAUAUUUGAGAUGCCUGUUGGAAACUUCAAUGAGAGGCCCAGUAAGGGAUUGACCGUGGAAGCCUGCUGCUAGUGAGUAGCAUUUAAAGAUGUUUAAAAGCACCAGAUGGUGGGAUGAGCUCACUUGGGGAUGGAUGUAGAAAGAAGAGAUCAUAAAGAACCAACCAGCAAAGAAGAGAUGGAAUCCCCCCAAGAGCCACGGGAUAAAAUCGUGAAAUGACACUUGAAGAAAAUAUUGACAGGAAGCCUCAUCCAAAGUUCAUUGUCUGUAGUUUCUCACUUUGUUUCAACCUUGUAGGAUCAAUACUAUUAUCAUUCCCAUCUUGCAAAUGAGGGAUCCAGAGGGGCUAAGUAACUCGCCUAAACUUAUUACUUCAGUUUGAGACUGUCUAGAGUCAGCGCCCAUUUUUGUAACACUCAGUGUAAGCAUAUUGCUUCCCUCCAUUAAAAACCUUCAGUGGUGCCUCAUUACUAGCUUGGACUGGGGAAGAUGGCUCUAGGGAUACAUGAGUCUGUAUAACCAGCAGCUACAUAACAGCUGGGUGUGGGAGCUUGUACCUGUAACCCUAGAGUUGGAGAGGCGGAAGAAAGGCUCUCUGAGUUUGCUAGCUAAAUCAGACAUGGCUUGGCAGUUAAGAAUACCUCUUCCAGCCAGGCGGUAGUGGUACACACCUUUAAUUCCAGCACUCCAGAGGCAGAGACAGGUGGAUCUCUAUGAGUUCCCGGACAGCCUUUUUCCCAGUUCAAGCCCUGUCUUGAAAAACCAAAGGAAAAAAAAAAAAUACCUCUUCCAGAGGAGCCAUGUCAGGCAACUCACCACCACUGGUUAACUCAGGCUCCAGGGGAACGCAACACUCUCUUCUGGCUUCUUCAGGCACCCACACACAUGUGUCAUACACACGUACAUAAAAAUGUAAUAUAAUUUUCAAACUUGCUAGGCAUUAGUGGCACCCGCCUUUAAUCCCAGCACUCAGAAGGCAGAGGCAGGCGGAUCUCUGAG
rnacentral:lncRNA from 1 species